UACGGGGGGGGCAAGCGUUGUUCGGAAUUACUGGGCGGAAAGGGCUCGUAGGCGGCCAACUAAGUCGGAUGUGAAAUCCCCAGGCUUAACCUGGGAACUGCAUCCGAUACUGGAUGGCUUGAAUUCGGGAGAGGUAAGCGGAAUUCCUGGUGUAGCGGUGAAAUGCGUAGAUAUCAGGAGGAACACCUGCGGUGUAGACGGCUUACUGGACGGUAACUGACGCUGAGGCACGAAAGCGUGGGUAGCAAACAGG
rnacentral:rRNA from 1 species